AAAAAGACAUACCCUGGGUUUUCGUAUCCAACGUUUGACUGUCGUCUUAUAUGAAAUUUUUUUAUAAUUAGUAUUUUCAUUGUUGUUAGAUGAUAAAACAUGAUUAAUACUUUAUGCGUGACUUGUCUUUUUAUUUUUUUUUUUUUUUUUUUUUCAUAUUUUUUUCAAAUAAGACGGACGGUCAAACGUUGGACAUGAAAACUCAGGGUUUGUCUUUUU
rfam:Oryza rufipogon genomic scaffold, chr01